rnacentral:tRNA from 1 species
CAAAAAAUAGUUUAAAAAGAAUUUUAAUUUUGGAGAUUAAAGGUAUAAGGAUAAUUAUUUUUUUGA